rnacentral:rRNA from 1 species
UGUGGUUAUUAUAGCAAAGAGGAUACACCUGUUCCCAUUCCGAACACAGAAGUUAAGCUCUUUAGCGCCGAUGGUACUUGGUGGGAAGCUGCCUGGAAGAGUAGGACGUAGCCGCGU